UACGGGGGGGGCAAGCGUUGUUCGGAAUUACUGGGCGUAAAGGGCUCGUAGGCGGCCAACUAAGUCAGACGUGAAAUCCCCAGGCUUAACCUGGGAACUGCGUCUGAUACUGGAUGGCUUGAAUUCGGGAGAGGGAUGCAGAAUUCCAGGUGUAGCGGUGAAAUGCGUAGAUAUCUGGAGGAAUACCGGUGGCGAAGGCGGCAUCCUGGAUCGAGAUUGACGCUGAUGAGCGAAAGCUAGGGGAGCAAACGGG
rnacentral:rRNA from 1 species